UGGCAGCAAACAAUAAGAGUUUUUUUUUCUGUGAGUGAAGUUAAGGAUGGUCUCAAGACGGCAAGGAGUUGAAGGCGGCAAGCAGCGAAAGGCGAUAUUGGCAAAAAGUGAGUGAAAGUGAGUGAGAAAAUAUAAAAAAAAGUACCGUAGGAACUAUAUAAAGAGCGGAAAUAUUGAGAGCAAUAAAUGGCAGCAAACAAUAAGAGUUUUUUUUUCUGUGAGUGAAGUGAAGGAUGGUCUCAAGACGGCAAGGAGUUGAAGGCGGCAAGCAGCGAAAGGCGUUAUUGGCAAAAAGUGAGUGAAAGUGAGUGAGUGAAGAGAAAAUAUAUAAAAUGUACCGCAGGAACUAUAUAAAGAGCGGAAAUAUUGAGCGCAAUGCAUGGCAGCAAACAAUUAGAUUUUUUUUUCUGUGAGUGAAGUGAAGGAUGGUCUCAAGACGGCAAGGAGUUGAAGGCGGCAAGCAGCGAAAGGCGUUAUUGGCAAAAAGUGAG